UUAGAUUAGCUAGUUGGUAAGGUAAUGGCUUACCAAGGCUAUGAUCUAUAGCUGGUCUGAGAGGACGAUCAGCCACACUGGAACUGAGAUACGGUCCAGACUCCUACGGGAGGCAGCAGUGGGGAAUAUUGGACAAUGGGCGAAAGCCUGAUCCAGCUAUGCCGCGUGAGUGAAGAAGGCCUUCUGGUUGUAAAACUCUUUCAAUAGGGAAGAUAGUGACGGUACCUAUAGAAGAAGUCCCGGCAAACUCUGUGCCAGCAGCCGCGGUAAUACGGAGGGGGCAAGCGUUGUUCGGAAUUAUUGGGCGUAAAGGGCACGUAGGUGGACUAGUAAGUUAAAAGUGAAAUACCAAAGCUUAACUUUGGAGCGGCUUUUAAUACUGCUAGACUAGAGGUCGAAAGAGG
rnacentral:rRNA from 1 species